rnacentral:lncRNA from 1 species
UACAGUCUCCUAGGCUCAGGAGGAGAGAACCUAGCCCAAAGGAGGUGUUCAGUGACACACACUCUCAUACACUCACACACACUCACACGUUCUCACACUCACACACACAGUCACACAUUCAUUUUCACUCACAUUCACAUUUCACACUCCUACACACUCAUUCUCACAAUCACACAUAUUCUAGCACUCUUACACACACAUUCUCACACUCGCAGAUUUUCACACCCAUACACAUUCAUUCUCACACUCACACAUAUUCUAGCACUCUUACACAGUCACAUAUUGUCACACUCACACUCACAUUCUCACACACACUCACAUUCUCUCUCUCACACACACACACAGAGGCUCUCAUCCAGAUGUAGAACCCAUAACCACACGCAUCCACCCACACACUCAGAUACAGUGGCAGUCCGUGUCCCUCACACUCAGAGAUAUCUACAAGCUCGGGCACACACACACUCACCUUCUCACCCAUGCACACGUACUUACACAUUCAUAUACAUGGACACUCAGAAUCUCACUCACCCUCCUCCAAAGCCUGUGCCAUAUGGCCACAGUUAGACAAAGGAAACUCAUGCUGAUCUAGCCUGGGCAGGCAAGAAUUGUGUCUGCAUCACAAAGGGCUCAGACGCCUGCUGUAAGUCAGCUGAAGAGUUUGCAUGAGAUCCUGGAGGCCAGAAGCCCAGGUCAGGACUGUAGGCCCCGGCAAAAACACCUUCUAUUUUUCGAGUGGGCGUCACGCUCAGCUGGUAACUUGGGAGAACACCAGAGGAACCCUGGAGGCUCAGAGCUGGGCUGGGAAAUGGAAGUGAAAUCAGAUUUGGACUCAAAUGGCCACUGGACUGGGGGCUAGAAAGGAAGGCAAGCUCUUAGCCUACAGAGGACCUGUAUGGGAGCCAGGCAGCCUCCUCUCUCUUCUCUGCAUCUUCUCAGCUAGCUGACAGCCCACUGGGUGGGCGUGGAGGCUCUAUUUGAGCAUCCCACUAGGAGGCAGUUCCUGAAGGGACUCUGUCAGGACUCAGGAGUCCAGGUACCCAGCUGGCUUCCAGGGCAGUGACACAGGAGCCAGAAGUCCAGGUGCUGAGCUCAUCACUGGGCACUUGCUCUUGGGAAGCAGAUGGGGAAGGGAAUUUCCUAGGACACACGUCUUGCUGGCUGCGUCUCCGAUGCACACCUGACACAGGGGCCUGGCUUGGCUUGGGGAUAGGAUUGGCCAAAAAGUCAGGGAUCACCCCAGACUGUUGCCAAAGGGAUGAAAGUGAUGCCUGUCAGGACCCAAGUGUGGGAGAAUCUUCCUUAAGCACACAAGCCCGUCUCAGCCAUCUAUGCAGCCCACUGUAGACAAGGUGAGGGCCACCACAGGCCUUUUCUCCUACAGCAUUCCGAGAUGGAAGAGGCCUUGUGGAUGAUCCACAUUUCAGUGAGGAG